CCACCAUCGUCUCACUCAGAGUGCCGUUGCUCACGCGCUCCUCCGGCUCUCCCGCUCGCGCGCGCCCCUCAGAAGAGGCACAGAUGGCGGCUCCCCGGAACGUGACGCAUCAGUCAUUACUGAUUGCAUAGCUGAGCUGAUCAUAACUUUAAUUGCCAUCAUGUGCAUCUCAAAAGGUACAAUUACUCGGCAGCUCUGUUCCGGCGGCCUGGAGAGGAGGGAGCUCACUUCUCCCAGCAGUUUGCCCCGGAUUGCACCACUUCCCAGCAGACUGCCUGCAGAAACUGUCGACUGUCUGUACUUUUACAAAACAAC